CCGACGUAAUUUGUUCUGAUUGGCCUGUUACCCGGAAGUGUUAAAUUCCGAACACCUUUUGGAAUUAAUCAAUCGCCCUUAAGUCAUUAGACUUGUUAUAUAAACUAUGUUAUGUCUUGUUUCUUCGUUAUUUAGAGCUUGGUUUCACGUCAGCAAAUUAUGUUCAUAAAACGAUGUUAUUAUAACCAAAUAAAAUAGUUUUUUGGGCAUAACUGUGAAAAGUCGACGUGUGAUUUAGCGCUCAAUGCGGCGUCUACAUUGUAUGUCCAUGACUACGUCGUCUGGAAAAUGUGUUUCUACCGGCCCUAUUAAUAUCUGCGGCAAACCAUUGUAAGGUACGUGAGGAUAAAUUCGUCCUAAACGUUACCUUGCAGAACCAAGCAGGAAGAAGAAGCUGAAACGUUGGAGCAGACGGAAGCCAGAGAGUGCGACAUGGUCACGCUGCAAAUCUGGAACUUUGAGCCAAGCUAUUGCGAAUAAUGGAUUGCUUACCCAAAUCAACUGGAAACGUCCCCAGGCAUGCUUUACCAAACGGACAACUGUCCAUCGAGUGGAAAGCCGGUCCCUGAAAAUAAUGCCCUCAAGGGAACCGGUCCGUAAUGCAAAAAAAUUUGGGGACCCCUGGUCUAGAUGGAAGCCUGUUACAGCAGAAAGUAAGCAGUUAUUAUCAGGGGGUCUUCAGCAUCGUCCCCCAGGACAACAGUACUGAGGUGGGCGUCACCGACCCGAUGACCAAGUGAAGC